rnacentral:rRNA from 1 species
CUAGCUGGUCUGAGAGGAUGACCAGCCACACUGGAACUGAGACACGGUCCAGACUCCUACGGGAGGCAGCAGUGGGGAAUAUUGCACAAUGGGCGCAAGCCUGAUGCAGCCAUGCCGCGUGUAUGAAGAAGGCCUUCGGGUUGUAAAGUACUUUCAGCGGGGAGGAAGGGAGUAAAGUUAAUACCUUUGCUCAUUGACGUUACCCGCAGAAGAAGCACCGGCUAACUCCGUGCCAGCAGCCGCGGUAAUACGGAGGGUGCAAGCGUUAAUCGGAAUUACUGGGCGUAAAGCGCACGCAGGCGGUUUGUUAAGUCAGAUGUGAAAUCCCCGGGCUCAACCUGGGAACUGCAUCUGAUACUGGCAAGCUUGAGUCUCGUAGAGGGGGGUAGAAUUCCAGGUGUAGCGGUGAAAUGCGUAGAGAUCUGGAGGAAUACCGGUGGCGAAGGCGGCCCCCUGGACGAAGACUGACGCUCAGGUGCGAAAGCGUGGGGAGCAAACAGGAUU